UUGAACGCUGGCGGCAGGCCUAACACAUGCAAGUCGAACGGAUGAAGGGAGCUUGCUCCUGGAUUCAGCGGCGGACGGGUGAGUAAUGCCUAGGAAUCUGCCUGGUAGUGGGGGAUAACGUCCGGAAACGGGCGCUAAUACCGCAUACGUCCUGAGGGAGAAGGUGGGGGAUCUUCGGCCCUCACGCUAUCAGAUGAGCCUAGGUCGGAUUAGCUAGUUGGUGGGGUAAAGGCCUACCAAGGCGACGAUCCGUAACUGGUCUGAGAGGAUGAUCAGUCACACUGGAACUGAGACACGGUCCAGACUCCUACGGGAGGCAGCAGUGGGGAAUAUUGAACAAUGGGCGAAAGCCUGAUCCAGCCAUGCCGCGUGUGUGAAGAAGGUCUUCGGAUUGUAAAGCACUUUAAGUUGGGAGGAAGGGCAGUAAGUUAAUACCUUGCUGUUUUGACGUUACCAACAGAAUAAGCACCGGCUAACUUCGUG
rnacentral:rRNA from 1 species